CUUUGACAGGCCCGCCACAAACUACGAAAAAACAACACAGACUGACACUGUCACUCAUCUUCUUCCAGUUCGCCCUCCUCCUUUUCAAACUUUAUGGUCAAUGGACCACCAUUUCAUCCUCCCCUACCCACCUGAACUCUCUCUCUCCUCUCUCUCCCUCUCCUCUCUCUCAUCCACUCAACUGUCCAAUAAUUCCCCACCUUAAGAAGUUGUUCUCUCUGAGCUCUGCUUUUUUGCACUCCAAUCCAACCCACCAACACAAUACAAAAAACCCAACAUUUUAGAGCUUCAAAGAUUCAAACUUUACCCUCUCUUUCAGUUCUCUCUCUAAAAAGAUGGCUUUAGUCCUCUACUCAGACCCAAGCUCCGAACCCCCCUCAGCAAACCCUGCUUGGCAAGACAUGUUCCGAUCAGCCUCAAUCCGUAAAUCCUCAACCCCAGAGCCCCAGGCGCCCAAACCCCAGGCGCCGCCGCCCAAGGACCCGCCAAAAUCUGCCGACCCAGCACAGAAAACCCCCAUCUCCGACGAUCCCCAGGUAAGGUUAGCCCUCUACAUAACCAUGGCCCAGGCAGGCCUGGCCUUUACAAUUUUCAUAUUUUACGCCGUGGGUAAGCUGCUAGAGGAAUACUUGCGGCCAAUUCAGUGGGCGGUGCUCUGCUCGAUCCCUCUGAGAGGAAUACAGCAAACCCUUGUGGGGUUUUGGUCGGAGCCCUUGAGGCUUGGCCUCACUGAAACUGUUCUGGCUGUUCCCGUGGCCAUAUUUGGGGUUUUCGUAGGUACCAUUGUCGAAAUUAGGGAGGUUUGCUUUCGGGUUUUUCUCCGAAAGCCGAAAUCUGACUACAGGAGGAGGCACCGGAGUGAGUUCUCUAAGUUGUUGAGGUGGUUGGUGUCGUUUUGGAUACUUAUACUUGCUUAUGAAAAAUUUGGUGGUGUUGCCUCUCUGGCAAUUCUUGGACUAGGUUUUAUGUUUAGUGCCAAAGUCGUGGAGUCGACAAUGUCAACUGUUUCCUCUUUGAGAUGCAGUAGCUUUCGCCGCAGCCCGAUAGUGCGUUCUUCACAAGAAGGAUAUUGAUAAGGUUGGAGACCAUCGUUGCAAUUGGGUUGAUGUUUGCUAUGAUUUUAGGGUUUUUCGUUGGUGUCAUGUUUUUUUCGUAUAAGAUUGGGAUCGAGAGCAAAGAUGCAGUGAUUUCGUUGAAGUUACAUGUGGAAGAGAGCAAUUACACAGAGAAGAUUGGCGUUAAGCAUUGGAUGGAGGAGAAUGAUGUGGCUGGAAUGGUGGAUAGGUACACUUUGAAGUUUUAUGAAACUGUGUCGGACCAGCUAGAUGGUUUGGCGUUGCAGUAUAAUAUGACAGAAUUGGCAACUGGAAUUAAGCAUUUUGUAGUAAGACAGUCGGCUAAUUCUUCCAAGCCUUCAAUAGCUUUAGCUAGCCCGUCUCAGUACACAGAGAAACUUGUGAGUUUGAGGGAUCGGGUUAGUAAGAGGGAAUGGGGACUUAUGUACACAGAGGUUGAUGCAAUUGUUAGGGAAUUGGUAAUCACCAGAGAGGAUUUAGUCGAGAAGGCAAAAGGGUUUGCCAUGCGAGGUAUGGAUGUAUCACAGCGCAUACUUGCUAGCAGUACAUCAGUCCUUGGAGGCAGCGCAAAACUCAUGUUCUCUAUCGGUAGUUCCAUUGUUUCUGGAGCAGCUGAGGUUUUCAAUUUUGUGUCUCAGUUAAUGGUGUUCAUCUGGGUAUUGUAUUAUCUGAUCACAUCCGAAUCUGGCGGAGUGACUGAACAAGCAAUGAGUAUGCUUCCAAUUUCAAAGUCCGCGAGGGUUAGAUGUGUUGAAGUUCUUGAUAAUGCUAUAUCCGGUGUUCUUUUGGCUACAGCCGAGAUUGCAAUUUUUCAGGGAUGUCUCACAUGGCUUUUAUUGACGCUGUUCAAAAUACAUUUCCUGUACACGUCCACCAUUCUUGCAAUCCUCAGUUCUGUGCUACCAAUCUUUCCAUCGUGGUUUGCAACUAUCCCUGCAGCUCUUCAACUGGUGCUGGAAGGUAGAUAUAUAGUAGCCAUCACCUUGUCCGUUAUUCAUCUCGUGCUUAUGGAUUACGGAGCGUCUGGAAUUCAGGACGACAUACCUGGCCAUAGUCAAUAUCUUACCGGACUCAGCAUCAUCGGUGGAAUGACUUUGUUCCCAUCCGCAUUCGAGGGUGCAAUUAUGGGUCCGCUCAUAACAACGGUUGUGAUUGCGAUUAAGGAUUUGUAUGUGGAAUUUGUUCUGGACGAACCCAAGGAUAAAGCCGAGUAGAAAGCAUGUUUGCCCGUCUUUCCGCAGUUUCUAUUUAUUUGUUGGCAGCUUACUCCGAAGUGUGCAAGCACAUUAUUCAUUGUAUCUUAAUAUAUGCCAUCCGAGGCAGGCUGUUGUGAGUUAAUUUUUUUUUUUUCCUGUAUAUUUAUGAGUUCAUUUGUAUUUCUCUGUCAGAUUGGUUUCUGUAUAUGUAUCCUAUCAAUUGCUGACAAUGGAAUGAAAUUUUGUAGAUUUUA